rnacentral:lncRNA from 1 species
UGAAGACUUAUGUUUGCAGAUAUUCUUCAUCGGUGACAGAUGAUGAGGGAGUUGACCGCAACAAUAAAAAAUCAUAACAAAAUUAUAGCACGUUGAAAAAACUAGUCUCCAUUGGUUGCAGUAACAUGGAUAGAUCAUUUAUUACCAAAAAAAAAAGGAUGGAUCGUUGCUACCGAUUACCUGCUAAUGAUCACCGGCCAAAUGUGGCAGUUGGGAAUUGAUGCC